GACGAACGCUGGCGGCGUGCUUAACACAUGCAAGUCGAACGGAAAGGCCCUUCGGGGUACUCGAGUGGCGAACGGGUGAGUAACACGUGGGUGAUCUGCCCUGCACUUUGGGAUAAGCCUGGGAAACUGGGUCUAAUACCGAAUAGGACCACGGCCUUCAUGGGUUGUGGUGGAAAGCUUUUGCGGUGUGAGAUGGGCCCGCGGCCUAUCAGCUUGUUGGUGGGGUAAUGGCCUACCAAGGCGACGACGGGUAGCCGGCCUGAGAGGGUGACCGGCCACACUGGGACGGAGAUACGGCCCAGACUCCUACGGGAGGCAGCAGUGGGGAAUAUCGCACAAUGGGCGCAAGCCUGAUGCAGCGACGCCGUGUGAGGGAUGACGGCCUUCGGGUUGUAAACCUCUUUCAGCAGGGACGAAGCGCGAGUGACGGUACCUGUAGAAGAAGGACCGGCCAACUACGUGCCAGCCGCCGCCGUAA
rnacentral:rRNA from 1 species